ensembl:snRNA U6 U6 spliceosomal RNA
GUGCUGGCUUUAGCAGCACAUAUACUAAAAUUGGAACAAAACAGAGAAGAUUAGCCUGGUCCCUGUGCAAGGAUGACAUGCAAAUUCAUGAAGUGUUCCAUAUUUUG